UCUUAGCCUAAUUUGUACUCAACUUGCUUCAAUCUUCCGUUUAUGCUCCUUUUGCAUGUUCGACCAAUAGGACUCCAAAUUCCAAGAGGAUUAAACUUAUUCUUCACCUGUUCAUUACCAAAAUAAGAGCAAAAUGAGAGAGACAUUAACUAUGACAAAGAAAACUAAAUAAAAUUAUGAUAAAGCUAAUAAAAACUUCCAUGACAUCUGUAAAACUCUUGCAAAAUGACCCUAACAUGUGAUGUAAUUAUCAGCAUAUCACAUAAUGUAUUGAAGCAGGCUAUACAUACUGUAAAAUUGGCCUACUGAUAUGAUAUUUACCGUUACAUCCCUCUCAAUUUGAAUUUCACAGAGAAAUGGUACCAUAUUAGGCAUAUCAUCCGUUACAUGUUAUGUUACUGAAAUGGCAUAGCAGAGGAUGAGAAGGA
rnacentral:misc_RNA from 1 species